rnacentral:tRNA from 1 species
GCAUUGGUGGUUCAGUGGAAGAAGUCUCACCUUCCAUGCUGCAGACACCAGGUUCAAUUCCUGGCCAAUGCA